rnacentral:rRNA from 1 species
GACAGAGGGUGCUAGCGUUGUUCGGAAUUACUGGGCGUAAAGCGCGCGCAGGCGGCUUGGUAAGUCAGAAGUGAAAUGUCACUGCUCAACGGUGGCGCUGCUUCUGAGACUGUCAGGCUAGGGAUCGGUAGAGGCUGGUAGAAUUGCAGGUGUAGCGGUGGAAUGCGUAGAGAUCUGCAAGAAUACCCGUGGCGAAGGCGGCCAGCUGGGCCGUAUCCGACGCUGAGGCGCGAAAGCGUGGGGAGCAAACAGG